rnacentral:lncRNA from 12 species
UGUGCUGUGUGUGUGCUAGAAAUCAUUAAUGUGUGUGUGUGUGUUUCAGGUUGAGAAUGGCUCGAAUGAAUGAGGAAAUGAGGGAUUCAGAGGGAUUCUUCGGAUCUGUUGGAGACGAUGAAACAUUUCAGGAUAUUUUCCGUGACUUCAGUAACAUGGCGUCACACGACCCCGAGAAACUCUCUCGCCGUCAGUUCCUCCGCGGCUCUGAGGAUGAAGAGGAGAAAAACUAGAGAGGGACCGGGAGGUCAGAGGUCAAGUGAGGUCAAGUGAGGUCAAGUGAGGUCACUAUGGGACAAGGGAAAAUACAAAAGAGGGAAAUCUUAAUGUUGCAACUAGUUAAAAACUAAACGUCUGUUUUGAAUUUCUGAAAGAGAAGCUGGAUGUAACGCUGAGUGUGUGACGGUUAACGUGUGUGUGUGUGUGUGUGUGUGUGUGUGUGUGUGUGUGUGUGCGACCGGGUCCAGCUCAUUUCAUCCACACUGACUGUUCCCCUCCUGAUUUUAGGCUGUGCUGUUGGUUUUACUAAAGGCUUUUGACCCGUUUUUAUAUCGUGCUGCAGUCAAACACGCUUCUACACUGAACUUUGAAGGAAAUGCACACUUACGGUGAAUAUUUAGGAUAUCGAAGUCAACAUGAAAUCAGAACUGACCCUGUUUACUUUCUUAACGCAUGUGUGUGAAUGAUUCAUCAGUGCAUGCUGUUCUUUAUGCAUUAUCAGAAUGUAUAACCAUCUUACAUUUUGGCUCACUAGUCCUUAUUUUUUAACUUUCUGUAAUAUAGAGACACUUGAUUAUCAACAGCUUCCUUAUGGAUUAAAUCAACCCAUCUGAUGGGUUUAAGAUCCUGGUUUAUUGAGGAUGUGUCUGAUUAAGAAAGUAAAAUGGAUUGGGGAUGCAGUUUCGUGUUGACUUUAAAUGCACACUUGAAUAAAAAUAAAUACAUAAACACAGUUAUAGCAAUUAAUAUCAUGUGAUACACAUAUUACUAUCAUUGUUGAUGUCUUAAAAGUUUGUGUCUUAUUCUAACUAAUGGAUUAAAAGCUAUUUAACUAUGAAAUUAGUCCAGUGUUGGUUUGUUUUUGAAUACACAACCCAGAACUUCACUUUUCUUUGCUGCCUGGUCAUUUUCAGUUUCAUGUUUUCAUAAUUUUGAGCGAGACACAAUAGGAAAUAUUACACGAAUGACUGUAUAUGUCAGGGGAGGAAAGAUUUCACUCUUUUAUUAGAAGAAAAAAUCAAGUCUAUGUACAUUUUUACAUCCAUAAUAAAAAUAUUUUUUAAAAACUAUUAUAUUUUCACUUAUCUUUAAAAUAUUUUACCCAAAAUAAAAAAAACACAUGUAUUAAAAAAAUUUAUAUUUUUGUUUAUUUGUUAUUUGUUUACAUAAUAUAUGUGUACUGUGUAUAUUUA